UAACAGGAUACAUUGCAGGCUGUUUCUAUCUGGGUCUCACACACUGAACAGAGAGGAGACAUGAAAGCUGCGGUGGGACUGCUGGUGCUGCUGGUCGGAGUUUCUUAUAGUGUGGAAACUUACUGUGAUGCCAGACAGGAUGGAGCUCAGUGUUUUGGAACUUUGGAAGGAAGUGUGGACAUCCAACUGAUGGACAGCACCUCAGAAUUACCUAGAUACCAAUUAUUAAAGAAUUCUUUAAAAAUGUUAGAUGUGAAAAAUGAUCAGGUUAAUAUGAUAGGAAACAGGUCUAUCUUUAUUGCCAGUAAUGGAACAUUUAGGCUCAAUAACCUGAGCAGGACAGACAGUGGUAAUUAUAGCCUUAAAACCUAUGAUUCAGAUGGAAGAUCAUCAGGCGUGCAAACUUUACAGUUGUUUAUUCAAGCUCCUGUGUCCUCUGUCCUGCUGGUCUCUGAGUGUCUGUCCCAGGGAGAGAUGAGAGUGUCCUGCUCCUCUGAGGGAGGGGACAGUCCUCAGUACAGCUGGACUCUGGAUGGACGCACACUGACAGAUGCUGAGCUCCUUUCUGUAAAUAAUGAGAGUAACAUCAUCACUCUGAAACAGCACAUCUCAGGACAUCUGGUCUGUUCAGUCAGGAACAACGUCAGUUAUGUCUCCAAAGGAGAGAGAAUAUCUACCUGUGGCUUCAUUUUUAUUAACUGCACCUCAAUCAAUGGGACACAGACAUCAGGGUGGGUGUAUGAAGCCAAUAACACCCUGUGUACUGAACCAACAACAGAACCAAUGACCACACAAACUGCUGUGGAUAAGAAGACUGACAUAGUGUCAGUUAAACCCUCCACUAAUAUUAGACCCGUCAAUCAAAAUGAUAGCAGUGCUGACCUAUGGCACAUUAGAUAUUUGCCACUGAUCGGUGGUGUUCUCUCAGCACUGGUAAUUUUCGUAGUUGUGGGUGUAGCAGUCGUCUGUGCUAAGUGGGAAAAGCAAAACAACAGACCUACAAAACAGAAAGAAGAUGACCAGGAAGUAACCUACGCUGAUGUCAGGGUCAUGAAGCAACAGGGGAAGAGGGUGGAGCAAACAGCACAGGCGGAGGCAGAGGUGGAGUACGGCCAAGUCAAGUUUUCAAAGCGACCUCGGCACACUGAACUAAGAGGAGAUGACUGUAUGUACGCCAAGAUACAUAAAGUCAGGUGAUAUAAGUGGUCAGUGCUUUUACACAGACUGCACCAAUGAAGGUUCACAGAGGGAGGAGGUGAUGUCGUGAUCCUAGAGGUCCUUUAAUUUCUGUCUUUGUAUUCUGCUGAAUCUCUAACAGAACAAAGGUUAUAAUCAAAGUGAUCACAGCUUCAUCUUCAUGUUCAUUUCAAGUAAGAGCUUACAGUAAUAGAUUUAAGCAACACCAAAGUGCUUGUUAUAGACAUAUUACUCACAAUAUUGAUAAUUUUCUGGAUUUGUUUUAAACAUCUUGGCAUCUUAUUUGUACUUAGAAUUAUCUAAGAGAGUCAUGAUCCCUGGUUUUUGAGGUUUUGGGAUUUUUAGGUUUUCUCUAGUUUGGGAUUCUUGAUUAUCUUUCUGUUUGUUUUGUGCUUCUGUUCCAAAGGUUUUUAUGUUCAUUCUGGGUUUAGAGAUUAUAUUUCCUUUGAGCUCCAUAGUUUUCUGUUUAUCGGGUUAUGUUUAUGUUCCUUCUUAUCUUUUGUAUUUCCAUUCUGUUUCUUCAGUCUUAUCUUCGUGUAUAUCUCUUGUCUUUUCUGUCAAGGUUGCAUGUUUUGAGUCUGCCAUCUGUUACUUCCUGUUUUACUUUGGUGGUCUUUAGUCUCUUGUGCUUCGUGUGUAGUUCCACUUCCUGUGUCUAAUAAUCUGUAAUGUGUAUAUAUAUUGUCUCAGUACUUGCUUGCAGUCAAGCUGUGUGUUUCUCCUGUAAGGCACCUUUUGUUGGUAUAUCUGCUCCUGGUUUAUAUUAUCUUGUAUGGUUUCAGCAAUAAAGCCACUUUUCAGUUUUAAGUUCUGCUUUCCGAAUCUUGCGUUUGGGUCCUACUCUACCUGCUACACAGCCGACCUUGACAAAGCAGGUUUAGUACACAUGUCUGGAGUACAAACUUCUCAGUGCACUGAUUCAGCUCAGUCUCACUACAAACAUCCAGGAAUGUCUUUAUGUUUAAUGAGCUACCCUCACUAAUAACAGAUUGUACCUUUAUUGCAUGCUGAGCAUCAAAUGAUCCAACACAUAAUUUGGCAAUUUUAGAUUUUUACAUUGUUUCAACGUUCAACAAACAAAACUUU
ensembl:lncRNA